GACGAACGCUGGCGGCGUGCCUAAUACAUGCAAGUCGAACGCAGUGGGGACGGGUGAGUAACACGUGGGUAACCUCCCAUCAGAGGGGAUAACACUUGGAAACAGGUGCUAAACCGAUACUGAUGGAUGGACCCGCGGUGCAUUAGCUAGUGGGUGAGGUAACGGCUCACCAAGGCAACGAUGCAUAGCCGGCCUGGGAGGGGGAUCGGCCACACGGGAACUGAGACACGGCCCAGACUCCUACGGGAGGCAGCGGUGGGGAAUCUUGGGCAAUGGACGAAAGUCUGACCGGGCAACGCCGCGUGAGUGAAGAAGGUUUUCGGAUCGUAAAGCUCUGUUGUUAGGGAGGCGGUAUCUGACCAGAAAGCCACGGCUAACUACGUGCCAGCAGCCGCGGUAAUAC
rnacentral:rRNA from 1 species